rnacentral:pre_miRNA from 1 species
AAUAGAUGAUGCCGUUGACUUUUUCUCACAUGUUUGACCAUUCGUCUUAUUCAAAAAAUUUACGUAAUUAUAAUUUAUGUUAUGAGUUCGUUUUAUCACUCAUAGUACUUUAAGUGUGAUUUAUAUCUUAUAUAUUUGCAUAAAAUUUUUGAAUAAGACAAAUGGUCAAACAUGUGAGAAAAAAUAAACAGCGUCAUCUAUU